CUGACAGGGAGAGCCCAGCUGUGGUUCCCUGUGAUCUUCUGUGGCAAAGUCCUCGCCCCUCGUAUGCCGUUUGUGCCCGGCGCACUUUGAAACGCGCCCCCCCCCCCGCUUGAUGGACUGACGGGGAAAUGGAGGCCGAGCGGCGAUGGGGAGCUCAUCAAAGUUUGGUCCGCCUUCUUUUGGAGUGUACUUAAAAAUGACAGAUCGGUGACUUUCCUGAGUCCCGCCCCCGCCUCGGAGCUGAAGCUGCGGAUGGAUUCACGCCGCUUCACGUCUGACUCGGUUUGGAAAGACACUGGGUGGGCCACAGGGGCCGCGGCUGACCUACUUCUCCCGGUGCCGGUCUGGUGGAACACCUGAGCGCCGCCUCCUCCAUCGGCCUCCAUCCAGCCUUCGCCAACUCCCUGAAUCCAGAGUGCUCAGAGGAAGAAAACCACAGCGCCACCAGGAGAAGAUGUCCAUCGCACGCUGAAAGGCCUCCGCCCUUCACAGCAGUGAGGUAAGCAUGCUAACCACACGCGCUGCUAAGGCCAAAUGGCUGCAUUCAGCUCAGAUUAAAACAGGAAGCGCUGCAACCCUCAGGUGAAUCACAGGUGGUGUUUCACACAUGUAAACUCUGCAGCAGGAAUAUCUGCAGACAUUCCGGAGACACUUCUGUGUGAUUUUCUGUCUUAACGGGCCCAGAUAAGGUGGGGUUGAUUAAGGUACCGGCCAGUGGAGUAGACUUUUAUGCUAGCUCUGACUAAUGUGGACCUGGAGCGCGGAGAGCAGGCGGGAGGAGAAUAAUGGCUGAUUCACACCCUUUGUGGAAAUAAAACCCUGCAUCCCUCAGCCCCAGAUGGCAUGCUUUUAAAAUAUUUCCACUUGUUUGUGUAUUUUCCGCCGUUGACUCGGCGGCUAAAUGGGCUUUUUGCGGAAGCAUUUUUCAUUAACAGUAUGCAGGAACAUUUUUCAGCGUAAGUGGGGCCGUAUUAUGUUUGUGGGACAAUAAAUCCAACUGAUAAAGUUAUAAAAUGCUGUCAGCAAUGCAAGAAGGGGGGGGGUGAAAAAACACAAACUUUGUAAACACAAAACCCUUGCAGGCACACGCAGCAGGCGGCCAAUUAUCUUUGCGCACGAUAAAUGAGAAAUAGUCAAAUUAGUGGGACGCAUCUUCACAGAUCAGAAUAUUAAAAAAUAGAGGAAAACAUUCUGACUCUAUUCCUCCCAGAGCCUCGACACAAAGCCAAAUGUAGGCUAUUUCAUAAAACUACAACCCAAUGUCAUCAAAGUGUUCCCUGC
rnacentral:lncRNA from 1 species